UAUUGAAAGGGGUUAAGGCCAAUAGGAGUGGUCCAUAGAUCUCACAUUUAUUAUUUACAGAUGACUGUAUUUUAUUUGGGGAGGCAACAAACAAAUGAGCUUUUUUAUUAAAGGGAACUUUAGUUGAAUAUGGAAAUUGUUCAGGUCAGUAUGUCAAUUAUGACAAAUCAAUCGUCUUUUUUAGUACUAAUACACAAGAAGAAGAAAGAAGAAUGGUUGCUAGUAUACUUGGUGUGUGCAGUUCAAGUGACCCAGAAUGUUAUCUUGGCCUACCUAACAUGGUGGGUAAAAGGAAAAAAAACGUCUUUCCAAAAUUUUAAGGAUAGAUUUAAGCAACGAAUUGAUAAUUGGAGUGUUAGGCAUCUCUCUCAAGGUGGGAAAAAAAAGUUCAAAAAGGUCAGGGCAAGAAGGGUAUUCACUGAUGUGUUUGGAAGGAUCUUUGCACAUUAAAAGAGAACGAUGAUUUGGGGUUCCGAAAUCUUGGACAAUUUAAUAUUGCGUUAUUAGCCAAGCAAGGUUGGCGUCGACAGACGAUCUUCUAAAUCGGCUUCGGGAAUGGUGGUUCAGGGUUUGAUGGGCGAGAUUUUAGCCUCGAAGACAGCUAUACAUAGAUCAAUCUUGUCUCCGUUUGCAACAGAAGCAUAUGCAGGUUUACAAGUCAUUCAAUUAGAAAUCUCUUUGGGGUUUAAUUCAAUAGCAAUUGUGGGGGAUUCAAGAACAGUUAUUAAGAAAUGUCAAACUACUGCUCCAGAUAAAUCAAUUAUUGGGGCACUCAUUAGAGAUAUUAAAAGCAAAAAGGUUCAUUUUCAAGAAAUUGAUUUCCAGUUUGUUCAUAGAUCGGAAAAUAAAUGUGCCCAUAAUCUUACGCACGAAGUGUUGAAAAGGGGUGAAAGAAAGCUCCCAGUGGGAGUAGUAUUGGAUUACACCAGUCGCGCACCAGAAAAAAGAUGGCCGAGACUCCCAGAUUGAUGCGGCUUCAUGGAAGAACUACAGAGAAAAUAGAUAGCAGAAGGAAGAAAGUUUUUUUGGUAAUUGUUAUCGGUUGAACUGCUGGGACAGGGAAGUGAAGAGGCAACAGAUGUGUGGAGUCCAGCUAUUGACGUUGAUUGGAUUAGGGAUUAGGUUUCCUUUUUUUUUUUUUUGUCUUUUUGCUUUUGUUGUUUUUUGGGCCUUUCUUUGUUAUUACAUUGUUUGAGCCUGCAUUUUGCAUUUAGCUUUGAUUAUUUCUUUUUAGGAUUAAGACCAGUGAUGUCUGGGGAACCAAUUUCAUAAUGUUUUUUUUGUCUGGUUUUUUUCUUCAAUAAAUAUCCAAUCGAUUUACUCAAAAAAAAAUAAGUGAAAGCUAAAAAUAAACGCAG